UACGAAAGGGGCUAGCGUUGUUCGGAAUUACUGGGCGUAAAGCGCACGUAGGCGGCCUUGUAAGAUGGGGGUGAAAUCCCCGGGCUCAACCCGGGAACUGCCUUCAUGACUGCAAAGCUCGAGGAUGUGAGAGGUUGGCGGAAUUCCGAGUGUAGAGGUGAAAUUCGUAGAUAUUCGGAAGAACACCAGUGGCGAAGGCGGCCAACUGGCACAUUUCUGACGCUGAGGUGCGAAAGCGUGGGGAGCAAAC
rnacentral:rRNA from 1 species